AGACAUCAAUACAGAGCACAUGUGAAAUUCUAUCUGUGUAAUGAAGUAAAAUUCUUUGACUACACUGUUUCCAGUGUAAACUACUGAACUUGCAAACACCAAGUUGCGUGGGAGAUAAGACAAGGUGAUGAAGUCCGAGCAAGAUGAGGAAGCACAGAGACUGUGGCAAAUUCUCCAAGGAAAACAUCUACAAGAGAGCAGAGAACAAGGCUGUCCUGAGCUAAUUUAUGCUCUUCAUUUGAAACAUUGAUGGCUGGCACUGAGAGCAAAACAAGAAAACUGGGCAAAUUUGGGGGAUCCUGUUAUCUUUAAUAUGUUUCUAGCAAUGCCUUUCAUGAGAAUUUUAGAUCUUCAUGAAUUUGAAAAUAGAGUUGUCAUUAAUUAUACAUAAUACUGAAUCCUACCAUCAACUUCUGAAGCCUGUGGAAAGUGAAAUUUGCACUGAUGCCUGUGGCUCUUCAGCUCAACCCAUGCAAGCUACAGACAGGUUUGCAUUUUUUUUUUUUUUACUGUCAUGGUCACAGGUAUAAACUGAGCAAUUAUUUUUUGGAUGUCCAGUUUUUGUGAGGCAAGUGAGUCUUAUUGACAGGUCUGUUUCCAUAUGAUUUUGAUUCAUAGUGACUUUACACACGCCACUUGUGACUUUUCCAC